rnacentral:tRNA from 1 species
GGACCCGUGGCGAAAUUGGUUAUCGUACCUCCCUGUCACGGAGGGGGCUGCCGGUUCGAGUCCGGUCGGGUCCG